CAUUUAUGAUUGGCUGCGGCAUAUCACUUGCUUUCUUAGAAUCGAUUGUUUGCGUGAUAUUUGUUUGGCAUAGCCAUUAUUUAUAUUUAUCAGUCGGGUUUGGUGUUUUGCUAAUGAUUUAUCGUGUGUCGAAUUUUCGUAAAUGCUAAAUUAUUGUGUUACGAAUGUUUCCGCGUGUGAUCUUGUGUGAGUUGCCGUCGGACGCUAACCGUCGAUAUUCUCUUAGAUUGUCAAAGAUAUUGUUAUAAAUUCGUGCACACUUAUUUCUGGAUCGCGAAAACUACUUUUGUCUUCUGCAAAAACGUUAAUAUGCUACCAGUAUCUUAAUGCCUUAGAUUUGCGGUGUUUGAUACCAUGUAUUUGCCAUGCCUUGAAAUCCAUGAGUUUUGCAUUGGUAAGUUUAUAAUUCAAUUAUAUUUUUCGUUUUAAUUUCAGCGUCCUCCAUUAGUUUGUAUUUACGUUGUUGUGCUUUAUCGCGUUCCAUCGCGUGUUGCAAAUACUUAAGAUAGUCGC